AUAGGAUUAAGAUGGGCAUGCGUGUCAUUAGCUAGUUGGCGGGGUAACGGCCCACCAAGGCGACGAUGACUAGGGGAUCUGAGAGGAUGACCCCCCACACUGGUACUGAGCCACGGACCAGACUCCUACGGGAGGCAGCAGUAAGGAAUAUUGGUCAAUGGAGGCAACUCUGAACCAGCCAUGCCGCGUGCAGGAAGACAGCCCUCUGGGUCGUAAACUGCUUUUAUUCGGGAAUAAACCACAUUACGUGUAAUGUGCUGAAUGUACCGAAGGAAUAAGGAUCGGCUAACUCCGUGCCAGCAGCCGCGGUAAUACGGAGGAUCCAAGCGUUAUCCGGAUUUAUUGGGUUUAAAGGGUGCGUAGGCGGCUUAUUAAGUCAGGGGUGAAAGACGGUGGCUCAACCAUCGCAGUGCCUUUGAUACUGAUGAGCUUGAAUACACUAGAGGUAGGCGGAAUGUGACAAGUAGCGGUGAAAUGCAUAGAUAUGUCACAGAACACCGAUUGCGAAGGCAGCUUACUAUGGUGUGAUUGACGCUGAGGCACGAAAGCGUGGGGAUCAAACAGGAUUAGAUACCCUGGUAGUCCACGCCCUAAACGAUGAAUACUCGCUGUUAGCGAUAUACAGUUAGCGGCUAAGCGAAAGCGUUAAGUAUUCCACCUGGGGAGUACGCCCGCAAGGGUGAAACUCAAAGGAAUUGACGGGGGCCCGCACAAGCGGAGGAGCAUGUGGUUUAAUUCGAUGAUACGCGAGGAACCUUACCCGGGCUUGAAAGUUAGUGAAUCAUUUAGAGAUAGAUGAGUCCGCAAGGACACGAAACUAGGUGCUGCAUGGCUGUCGUCAGCUCGUGCCGUGAGGUGUUGGGUUAAGUCCCGCAACGAGCGCAACCCCUAUGUUUAGUUGCCAGCACGUUAUGGUGGGGACUCUAAACAGACUGCCUGUGCAAACAGAGAGGAAGGAGGGGACGACGUCAAGUCAUCAUGGCCCUUACGUCCGGGGCUACACACGUGCUACAAUGGAUGGUACAGAGGGCAGCAAGCUGGCAACAGCAAGCGAAUCUCAAAAAGCCAUUCACAGUUCGGAUAGAGGUCUGCAACUCGACCUCUUGAAGUUGGAUUCGCUAGUAAUCGCGUAUCAGCAAUGACGCGGUGAAUACGUUCCCGGGCCUUGUACACACCGCCCGUCAAGCCAUGGAAGUUGGGGGUACCUAAAGUAUGUAACCGCAAGGAGCGUCCUAGGGUAAAACCGAUAACUGGGGCUAAGUCGUAACAAGGUAGCCGUACCGGAAGGUGCGGCUG
rnacentral:rRNA from 1 species